rnacentral:rRNA from 1 species
CGCAACCCCUGCUUUCAGUUACUAACGGGUCAAGCCGAGAACUCUGGAGAGACUGCCCAGGAGAACGGGGAGGAAGGUGGGGAUGACGUCAAGUCAGCAUGGCCUUUAUGCCUGGGGCUACACACGUGCUACAAUGGCCGGUACAAAGGGCUGCAAACCUGUAAGGGGGAGCGAAUCUCAAAAAACCGGCCUCAGUUCAGAUCGAGGUCUGCAACUCGACCUCGUGAAGGCGGAAUCGCUAGUAAUCCCGGAUCAGCACGCCGGGGUGAAUACGUUCCCGGGCCUUGUACACACCGCCCGUCACACCACGAAAGUUUGUUGUACCUGAAGUCGUUGGCGCCAACCGCAAGGGGGCAGACGCCCACGGUAUGACCGAUGAUUGGGGUGAAGUCGUAACAAGGUAAAGGGCGAAUUCCAGCAC